rnacentral:rRNA from 1 species
AUUGAACGCUGGCGGCAGGCCUAACACAUGCAAGUCGAACGGUAACAGGAAGAAGCUUGCUUCUUUGCUGACGAGUGGCGGACGGGUGAGUAAUGUCUGGGAAACUGCCUGAUGGAGGGGGAUAACUACUGGAAACGGUAGCUAAUACCGCAUAAUGUCGCAAGACCAAAGAGGGGGACCUUCGGGCCUCUUGCCAUCGGAUGUGCCCAGAUGGGAUUAGCUAGUAGGUGGGGUAACGGCUCACCUAGGCGACGAUCCCUAGCUGGUCUGAGAGGAUGACCAGCCACACUGGAACUGAGACACGGUCCAGACUCCUACGGGAGGCAGCAGUGGGGAAUAUUGCACAAAGGGCGCAAGCCUGAUGCGGCUAUGCCGCGUGUAUGAAGAAGGCCUUCGGGUUGUAAAGUACUUUCAGCGGGGAGGAAGGGAGUAAAGUUAAUACCUUUGCUCAUUGACGUUACCCGCAGAAGAAGCACCGGCUAACUCCGUG